rnacentral:rRNA from 1 species
UACGUAGGGUGCAAGCGUUAAUCGGAAUUACUGGGCGUAAAGCGUGCGCAGGCGGCUUUGCAAGACAGAUGUGAAAUCCCCGGGCUCAACCUGGGAACUGCAUUUGUGACUGCAAGGCUAGAGUACGGCAGAGGGGGAUGGAAUUCCGCGUGUAGCAGUGAAAUGCGUAGAUAUGCGGAGGAACACCGAUGGCGAAGGCAAUCCCCUGGGCCCGUACUGACGCUCAUGCACGAAAGCGUGGGGAGCAAACAGG